CAUGUAUCGAUGCAUUUUUUUAUUUGAAUUAAGGUAUGACAAAACACAUUUCAUUUGUCGUGUCAUUGUUUGUCUUUCCGAGGUUGUGAUGACUAUUUGUUAAGAAUCUAAGAAUCAAAAAAGAAGUUAUGGCAUGUUGUGGAGAUGCUUCCGGUUGGGCUAAAGUCGGUUUCAUUUGCAUCUUUCUCGCGUUUGGAUUGCAGUCUGCUGCCUUUCUGACAAACUACUGGAUGGUGUAUAACACAGCUAAGGAUCUGUUUGAUAUAAGAGUUGGACUACUCUGGUACACAAAUUGUACGUCUGCUUGCGCUACUUCUACAACUCCAAGCAGUUACCAUUCUUUAUUUUUCACACUGGCCAAGAUACUUGAAGGUGUCACCAUCGGACUAUUUUUCAUCAUUGUGGUUAUUUACGCCUUCUACGUACUCGCAGACAGAAGCAGGACAAGGGCAACAGCGAAAUCUAUUAUAAUUCUGAUAGUCACAUCGGAACUAUUUCCAAUUGGUGGAAUUGUAUUAUGGAUUCUGCAGAUAGAUUUUCCAUAUUUCCUAGCUUGGUCGGCUGGAAUGUCCAUGAUAGCUACAGGAUUAGCAUUUUUUUCAAUGCUAUGCUUGAUUCCAGAUUUAAAAGAAUAUCCAUAUUAUAACAAAAUGGCAAUCCUUCCAAUGGACAAUAACUUUGAUGAUAUGCAGUAUCGGAAAUACGAUACUAAAAAGAACACUUAUGUCGACCAAGACAAGCUUGACAGAGAACCGAAACGAAAACCCCAUUUAAAAGAUCCAUAUUCGAUGAAAGAUUCUUUCAUGGAUGAUGAUAUAGACAGAAAGGCCUUAAUGGUUACUCCGUCUAGACCACCAAGAUAUGAUUUUUUGAAGCAAAACCCUUAUCCGUUGUCAACAAAAUUUUAAUGUCAGUUACUGGAUGUAUAUUGUGUACAACUUAUAAUUCAAUAAUAAAACAAACGGUAUGGGGUAUUCAUCCCUGAUUUAUACAUAUUUUUUUUACAAGUUAUCAGUAUUCAUCUAUGACAGCUAUAUACCAAGGAGCAAAUGGUAGUACUAUUUCAUCAAAGACAUCCUCGCGCAAUUCAUAAAUUAUAAUUUUUUUAUUAUAAUCUGCAAUAGCUAAUUUCCCUGAUGCCAGCGAUUUAUUAAUAAUAUCUCUUAUAUCAAACCCUGGGAACGUAGCGUGGUGAAAUAAGGGGAAUCUGUAUGUAUUGUCUUUGGAAAUUUGGGUGAUGUGUGGUAAGUUCAUGAUGCAGAUUUACGAGUAAUUUGGUGAACCUGGAAGCAGCUUUAGCACAUAUUCAUCCUAUACAGUCCUGGCAAUAAUACACAUCAGCACAUGCAUCCUUUACAGUCCUGACAAUAAUAUACAUCAGCACAUCCAUCCUAUACAGUCCUGACAAUAAUACACAUCAGCACAUCCAUCCUAUACAGUCCUGACAAUAAUACACAUCAGCACAUCCAUCCUAUACAGUCCUGACAAUAAUACACACCAGCACAUCCAUCCUACACAGUCCUGACAAUAAUACACAUCAGCACAUCCAUCCUAUACAGUCCUGACAAUAAUACACACCAGCACAUCCAUCCUACACAGUCCUGACGAUAAUACACAUCAGCAAUAUCUUCGACUUCAUACUAACAUACAAAGUAACUAAAAGAUAACAAAAUAACAUUUGGCAUUUGUCAAAUACUCCAAAAAUGAAACGAAAGGCAACCAUUAGUUUAAUACUGGUACAUUUUUUUUGUAUUUUUUUGUUAUUUCAUCUGAUCUAUAAUCAUCAAUAAUUUACGGUAUUAUGUUAAAAAAUAAAUGAAAUGAGUUUCGUGCGCAUAUGAGUGUUUCUGAGAAACCUUAAUCAGGUAAGCUCGUGAACACAUUGUGGGGUUCAAAAAUCCGACGUCUACUUCUUUCACCAUACUAUUCAUAAUUUUUAUACUUUAACCUAAUAUAAAGCACCGUCUACUUUGAGGAAUAAUGCUGCAAAUAACACAAGACUGGGUGAGAUUCUAUAUAUCAUACCCGAUACUAAGCACCCAAAAUAUCUUUUAGUGUUAUUAUAUAAACUGUGUAUGAGUGUUAUGUAUAAGACUGUAGCGUGUAGUCAUGUUAGUAUGGUAAUGAUAAGACAAUACAAUAAAAGCUUACUUGUUUUAUCCAAUUAUGUUAA